rnacentral:sRNA from 1 species
GUUUGUACUAAUAAUUGAUUGUGUCAGUUUAUCAACAGCGCACUGAAAACGACCUACAGUUGGACAAUGUAGUGGCCAGCUGCAGCUUUGACCCAGAAUCGAUUUGCAAUAUUUGGGUUUAAUCCAAUAGCCCUCAUAUUACCUCAAUUCGUUGAGCAAUAUCCGAGGCUGGUAUCAUUUUGGGUACGGCCACAAAUACGCAAAACAAUGAAUGUAGAAGAUGCGAGGUUUCUUCCUGAAUAGAAAAGGGGAAAGGAGAACACUCUCUAAAGGGUCAAUUCAUAAGAAUGUGUCUCGGCUAACAUAGCUUUACAGCGAACCGGCAAUACCAUCUGUUGCCGGACAGGCCUUCCCCCGAUUGAAGCUUGUGGGCAAUAUUUAUGAGACGGGUGAUAUGUCAUAAUAACAUCGGGACACUGGAAUGAAUGCAAUUCUUAUCCUUUUUUGUUGGAUUCGCGUCUCGCAGCCUCCACGCAUGAGGUCCAUUCGCCUGAAGGCAUUUAAUAUUCGUGGUGAAUCUGGCAUAUGAGCACAUGGCUGUGCUGACCCUGAGUCCCUGAAUCUCCAGAACCAACUGACUGUCUCUUACUCUUGGUAGUUCUGAAGCAAGCUGCAGGGGUAUUUCCAAUUGUGCAGGGACGAGCGAGCACCACCACCAAAAUGCCAAUUCCCAACACAAAGAGGAUCAAGUUGAACAGCCACUCAAUCGGGGGAAGCUUCCAGGACAGUUAACUGCUGUAUUAAUUUCAUUGCUGACGACAAUCAAAGCGGAUGGUUAGUUGCAGCAACAUCAUUCCCAAAAUCCACAAGGGGGAAGGCUGGCGGGUCCAUAGACGGCAAGCGAGGUCUGAGAGGUUUUAAGCUCUAGCAUUGCUGAAUUGGAAAGUUGAUUGUUUCUGGAUAUGGCUGUUAUCUUCUUCAACGCAAUAAGAGACACAUGCAUCUUGACAGUAUGAUGGUGGCGUUCCAUGUAUUUUUGUAUUGAUCGGUGCGUGUAUGAAAUGUAUUUCUAGAAUCAAUCAGUAUGAUAAAAGCUA